UUUGAAAUCUGGCACCUUCGGUGUCCGAGUUGUAAUUUGAAGAUUGUAACCUUGGGGUUGGCUCUUGUCUAUGUUUCUUGGAACAGGACGUCACAGAGGGUGAGAAUCCCGUGCGAUGAGAUGCCCAAUCCUAUGUAAGGUGCUUUCGAAGAGUCGAGUUGUUUGGGAAUGCAGCUCUAAGUGGGUGGUAAAUUCCAUCUAAAGCUAAAUAUUGGCGAGAGACCGAUAGCGAACAAGUACAGUGAUGGAAAGAUGAAAAGAACUUUGAAAAGAGAGUGAAAAAGUACGUGAAAUUGUUGAAAGGGAAGGGUUUGAGAUCAGACUCGAUAUUUUGUGAGCCUUGCCUUCGUGGCGGGGUGACCCGCAGCUUAUCGGGCCAGCAUCGGUUUGGGCGGUAGGAUAAUGGCGUAGGAAUGUGACUUUGCUUCGGUGAAGUGUUAUAGCCUGCGUUGAUGCUGCCUGCCUAGACCGAGGACUGCGAUUUUAUCAAGGAUGCUGGCAUAAUGAUCCCAAACCGCCCGUCUUGAAACA
rnacentral:rRNA from 1 species